rnacentral:rRNA from 1 species
UACGUAGGGUGCAAGCGUUAAUCGGAAUUACUGGGCGUAAAGCGUGCGCAGGCGUUUGUGUAAGUCUGUCGUGAAAUCCCCGGGCUCAACCUGGGAAUUGCGAUGGAGACUGCACGGCUAGAGUGUGUCAGAGGGGGGUAGAAUUCCACGUGUAGCAGUGAAAUGCGUAGAUAUGUGGAGGAACACCGAUGGCGAAGGCAGCCCCCUGGGAUAACACUGACGCUCAUGCACGAAAGCGUGGGGAGCAAACAGG